rnacentral:rRNA from 1 species
UACGAAGGGGGGCUAGCGUUGCUCGGAAUCACUGGGCGUAAAGGGUGCGUAGGCGGGUCUUUUAAGUCAGGUGUGAAAGCCCGGAGCUUAACUCCGGAAUUGCGCCUGAAACUACAUGGCUAGAGCAUUGGAGAGGGAAGUGGAAUUCACGGUGUAGCAGUGAAAUGCGUAGAUAUCGUGAGGAAGACCAGCUGGCGGCGAAGGCGGAUCUCUGGGCCACUACUGACGCUGAGAAGCGAAAGCAUGGGGAGCGAACAGG